GAUGAAGAACGUAGCGAAAUGCGAUAAGUAAUGUGAAUUGCAGAAUUCAGUGAAUCAUCGAAUCUUUGAACGCACCUUGCGCCUUUUGGUAUUCCGAAAGGCACACCUGUUUGAGCGUCAUGAAUACCUCAAUCUCCAUCUUUUCUUCGAAUUGAUGGGUGACUUGGAUGUUGAGCCCUGCUGGUAUGCUAUAUCAGCUGGCUUUAAACUUAUUAGCCGGCUCUGUACUGGAUCGGUUUGACUCGACGUGAUAAUAUUAUCGUUGAGGAUGCAUGUCUCAUGCAGCCGGAAAGUAUCAAAGCAGCUUCUAGCUUGCCUUUAGUGCACUUUUACAUUUUAGACCUCAGAUCAGGUGGGACUACCCGCUGAACUUAAGCAUAUCAAUAAGCGGAGGA
rnacentral:misc_RNA from 1 species